ACUUCCAGAAAAUUCUUUUCAGCUUAUAUAACGCUCCAGGCACAAGAACCAACCAAACUCUGAGCCCUUCAACGCCAGGAUCACCAAACAUCACGUGUCGUGCGAGGUCUAAAACUUUUGUAGGUACUGUUAGGAAUACUGGAUACACUAGGAUUGAGGAGGAUAACACAAGAUGUAUUCCGUCCGCCAACCCCUACGCAAAUCUCAAGCAGGAUCGUUUCGUUGCCCGACGACUCUACACCCACUUCAGUACUCCCAGCCCUUCUCACUCCGCUCCUCAUUAUAAUCAAUAAUUUUUAUCAAUUAUUGAUCAUUCUGGGGGACGUGAAAAGCAUACAUGGAUUCCCCUUCACUUCCAGAAAAUUCUUUUCAGCUUAUAUAACGCUCCAGGCACAAGAACCAACCAAACUCUGAGCCCUUCAACGCCAGGAUCACCAAACAUCACGUGUCGUGCGAGGUCUAAAACUUUUGUAGGUACUGUUAGGAAUACUGGAUACACUAGGAUUGAGGAGGAUAACACAAGAUGUAUUCCGUCCGCCAACCCCUACGCAAAUCUCAAGCAGGAUCGUUUCGUUGCCCGACGACUCUACACCCACUUCAGUACUCCCAGCCCUUCUCACUCCGCUCCUCAUUAUAAUCAAUAAUUUUUAUCAAUUAUUGAUCAUUCUGGGGGACGUGAAAAGCAUACAUGGAUUCCCCUUCACUUCCAGAAAAUUCUUUUCAGCUUAUAUAACGCUCCAGGCACAAGAACCAACCAAACUCUGAGCCCUUCAACGCCAGGAUCACCAAACAUCACGUGUCGUGCGAGGUCUAAAACUUUUGUAGGUACUGUUAGGAAUACUGGAUACACUAGGAUUGAGGAGGAUAACACAAGAUGUAUUCCGUCCGCCAACCCCUACGCAAAUCUCAAGCAGGAUCGUUUCGUUGCCCGACGACUCUACACCCACUUCAGUACUCCCAGCCCUUCUCACUCCGCUCCUCAUUAUAAUCAAUAAUUUUUAUCAAUUAUUGAUCAUUCUGGGGGACGUGAAAAGCAUACAUGGAUUCCCCUUCACUUCCAGAAAAUUCUUUUCAGCUUAUAUAACGCUCCAGGCACAAGAACCAACCAAACUCUGAGCCCUUCAACGCCAGGAUCACCAAACAUCACGUGUCGUGCGAGGUCUAAAACUUUUGUAGGUACUGUUAGGAAUACUGGAUACACUAGGAUUGAGGAGGAUAACACAAGAUGUAUUCCGUCCGCCAACCCCUACGCAAAUCUCAAGCAGGAUCGUUUCGUUGCCCGACGACUCUACACCCACUUCAGUACUCCCAGCCCUUCUCACUCCGCUCCUCAUUAUAAUCAAUAAUUUUUAUCAAUUAUUGAUCAUUCUGGGGGACGUGAAAAGCAUACAUGGAUUCCCCUUCACUUCCAGAAAAUUCUUUUCAGCUUAUAUAACGCUCCAGGCACAAGAACCAACCAAACUCUGAGCCCUUCAACGCCAGGAUCACCAAACAUCACGUGUCGUGCGAGGUCUAAAACUUUUGUAGGUACUGUUAGGAAUACUGGAUACACUAGGAUUGAGGAGGAUAACACAAGAUGUAUUCCGUCCGCCAACCCCUACGCAAAUCUCAAGCAGGAUCGUUUCGUUGCCCGACGACUCUACACCCACUUCAGUACUCCCAGCCCUUCUCACUCCGCUCCUCAUUAUAAUCAAUAAUUUUUAUCAAUUAUUGAUCAUUCUGGGGGACGUGAAAAGCAUACAUGGAUUCCCCUUCACUUCCAGAAAAUUCUUUUCAGCUUAUAUAACGCUCCAGGCACAAGAACCAACCAAACUCUGAGCCCUUCAACGCCAGGAUCACCAAACAUCACGUGUCGUGCGAGGUCUAAAACUUUUGUAGGUACUGUUAGGUAAGAUAGAUAAUUUGAAUGUUUGCUUCGCAUAUAGCCUAAUGUACAAAUCUUUUACUCAACAAAACUCUCCGUCCAAAAGUAACAGUUUAAAUGCCGAACUCAGUUAUCCUCCACCCUUUAUGUAAUAAUGGAGUCGACCAAAUUGAAUUUCAUUAAGAGAAAAAAAGAAUCAUCCAAAAAUCAGAAUAUUUAUUAGUUACUUAAUGAAUAGCGUACUAACAGAAUAAGUAAUAUUAUAUAAUUUCAAAAUGAUUACCAAUAUUAAAGUAGGUUAAUAUUUUAAACCAUACCUAGUAUAGUUUUACAAAAUUCUUUUUGUUGUUGUUUGAAUUAGGUUUACUAUCCGGGAUUUCAUUCAAAUGUAAUAUACAUUUUCAUUCAAAUCUUUCCUACCGGAAAUUGUGAAAUAUAUGUACAG